CCUACGGGCGGCUGCAGUAGGGAAUCUUCGGCAAUGGGGGCAACCCUGACCGAGCAACGCCGCGUGAGUGAAGAAGGUUUUCGGAUCGUAAAACUCUGUUGUUAGAGAAGAACGUUAAGUAGAGUGGAAAAUUACUUAAGUGACGGUAUCUAACCAGAAAGGGACGGCUAACUACGUGCCAGCAGCCGCGGUAAUACGUAGGUCCCAAGCGUUGUCCGGAUUUAUUGGGCGUAAAGCGAGCGCAGGUGGUUUCUUAAGUCUGAUGUAAAAGGCAGUGGCUCAACCAUUGUGUGCAUUGGAAACUGGGAGACUUGAGUGCAGGAGAGGAGAGUGGAAUUCCAUGUGUAGCGGUGAAAUGCGUAGAUAUAUGGAGGAACACCGGAGGCGAAAGCGGCUCUCUGGCCUGUAACUGACACUGAGGCUCGAAAGCGUGGGGAGCAAACAGGAUUAGAUACCCCGGUAGUC
rnacentral:rRNA from 1 species